AAAUCGAAACUGUAGCAGUGUCUAUGGUGUAUGGCUAGAGUGAACACCCUAUGUGCUUAUGGCAGUGCGUCGGAUUUCUCAUCCCACAGUCACUGAGCAGGUGCCUCAGUGAAGGGCUGGAUGACCCCGGUCAGAAAAACAGAUAAACGACUCCUGCUCUGAUGGUCAGGACCUGUUAAUUGAAUACACAUACGGCUCACAGAUGAUGUUCGACAUUGCCCUGCAGCUCUAAGGAACUGGAAUAUCCUCUGAUGCGGCCCCUGUGCAGUUACCUGGAGAUUUUCUUGAACUUUUGGAAGUCUGAGAUCUUCUGCCAGCAUCCAGGAGAUGUUCUGUGAGAGUCGUUCCACCUGUAGAUGCAGUUUUGAUGUACUUGUGGGAGAAGGCUAUGACUGGAAACUCCACGUCCUUUGUGUGAGCGGUUCAAAGAGCACCCCACGAAGAGGCCACCAGGAGGCAUCUGAAAGGAAGAAGACACAGAAAGGGAAGGAAGAAAGUGCUGAAGAGAGGCCCAGACUUGCAGAUCAUGUCUGCAGGUCGCAGGAGUGCUGGGGAGAAAUAAUCACAUUGUCAGGAUCAAAUCAUAGGAUGUUUGCAAAGUACCUGCUAUGUGGUUCUCAACAAAUGGUGGCCAUUAUUACUUUUAUUUUAGUGAAUGUAUAAGGCUAAGGAUGUGGCUUUGGCCAUAGGUAACCCAAAGAUCAUCACAACGAACCAUGUUGUAGAAAGGCAAGCAUAAUACAGUCACGUGAAAAGAAAAUGUAAACAAGUCAGUUGGCUCCUUCUCAUGGAAGGACUCAUCUCCUCCACCCAGAAAUGGAAAACCUAUUGCUGGAUUUUCCAGUGUUUAAUUAUUAAAAACAACUCUUUGAUAUGGUUCUGUAUGUGUUUAAAGAUUUCUUCCUAUUUACUUAGGUGAGAUACCAAAAAGUGGAUUCACUAAACCUAAAGAAUAUAAUUUUUAAGAUGUCUGCCUCAUAUUCUGCCAGUGUGUUUCUCAGAUUAUAACAGGCCCUGUUCAUUAAUAUCAACAUUGGAUCAGCUAGUCUUUUCUGAUGUGCUAAGAA